UACGUAGGGGGCAAGCGUUGUCCGGAAUCAUUGGGCGUAAAGAGCGUGUAGGCGGCCCGAUAAGUCCGCUGUGAAAGUCCAGGGCUCAACCCUGGGAUGCCGGUGGAUACUGUCGGGCUCGAGUCCGGAAGAGGAGUGUGGAAUUCCUGGUGUAGCGGUGAAAUGCGCAGAUAUCAGGAGGAACACCAAUGGCGAAGGCGGCUUCCUGGACCGACACUGACGCUGAGGCGCGAAAGCUAGGGGAGCAAACGGG
rnacentral:rRNA from 1 species